GUGGGGAUGUGGCUCAAGCGGUAGUGCACUCGCCUGGCAUGCACGGGGCGCUGGGUUCGAUCCUCAGCACCACA
rnacentral:tRNA from 1 species